AUGGGUGGCGGUGGCCUUGGCGCCAUGGGAGGCAUGGGUGGCUUGGGAGCCAUGGGAGGCAUGGGUGCACCUCCGGCCGCCAUGGGAGGCAUGGGUGGCUUUGGAGCACCCUCUGACGCUAUGGCCGCCAUGGGAGGCAUGAGUUUCACUUCUCUUAUGGGAGGCAUGGGUGCACCUCCGGCCAUGGGUGGAAUGUCUUUCGAUGUGCCUCCUCACACACAUUCCCAUGAAGAUGCCGUUGAAGAUCUUGCCAACACCGUCGGAGCUUCACGUGAUGCGAUGCGUGAUGAGGGUAGGGAGGAAGAUUCAUCUUCGGAGGCGGAAGAAUCGUCUUUGAAAGAUGAGGACGAAGACGAGGAAGAUGAUUGA
rnacentral:rRNA from 1 species